rnacentral:rRNA from 1 species
GACGUAGGGCGCAAGCGUUGUCCGGAUUUAUUGGGCGUAAAGAGCUCGUAGGCGGCUCGUUGCGUCGGCUGUGAAAACCCGCAGCUCAACUGUGGGCUUGCAGCCGAUACGGGCGGGCUGGAGUUCGGUAGGGGAGACUGGAAUUCCUGGUGUAGCGGUGAAAAUGCGCAGAUAUCAGGAGGAACACCGGUGGCGAAGGCGGGUCUCUGGGGCCGAUACUGACGCUGAGGAGCGAAAAGCGUGGGGGAGCGAACAGG